rnacentral:rRNA from 2 species
UAUUUAUAUGAGAGUUUGAUCCUGGCUCAGGAUGAACGCUGGCGGCGUGCCUAAUACAUGCAAGUCGAACGAGUUCUGAUUAUUGAA